UACGAAGGGGGCUAGCGUUGUUCGGAUUUACUGGGCGUAAAGCGCACGUAGGCGGAUCGAUCAGUCAGGGGUGAAAUCCCAGGGCUCAACCCUGGAACUGCCUUUGAUACUGUCGAUCUGGAGUAUGGAAGAGGUGAGUGGAAUUCCGAGUGUAGAGGUGAAAAUUCGUAGAUAUUCGGAGGAACACCAGUGGCGAAGGCGGCUCACUGGUCCAUUACUGACGCUGAGGUGCGAAAGCGUGGGGAGCAAACAGG
rnacentral:rRNA from 1 species